UACGUAGGGCGCAAGCGUUGUCCGGAAUUAUUGGGCGUAAAGAGCUCGUAGGCGGUUUGUCGCGUCUGCUGUGAAAACCUAAGGCUCAACCUUGGGCUUGCAGUGGGUACGGGCAGACUAGAGUGCGGUAGGGGUGACUGGAAUUCCUGGUGUAGCGGUGGAAUGCGCAGAUAUCAGGAGGAACACCGAUGGCGAAGGCAGGUCUCUGGGCGAUUAAACUGACGCUGGAGGAG
rnacentral:rRNA from 1 species